UCGAAUGCUCCAGAGGAUGACUUAGGAGA
rnacentral:piRNA from 1 species